GAUGAACGCUGGCGGCGUGCCUAAUACAUGCAAGUCGAGCGAACGGACGAGAAGCUUGCUUCUCUGAUGUUAGCGGCGGACGGGUGAGUAACACGUGGAUAACCUACCUAUAAGACUGGGAUAACUUCGGGAAACCGGAGCUAAUACCGGAUAAUAUUUUGAACCGCAUGGUUCAAAAGUGAAAGACGGUCUUGCUGUCACUUAUAGAUGGAUCCGCGCUGCAUUAGCUAGUUGGUAAGGUAACGGCUUACCAAGGCAACGAUGCAUAGCCGACCUGAGAGGGGGAUCGGCAACACUGGAACUGAGACACGGUCCAGACUCCGACGGGAGGCAGCAGUAGGGAAUCUUCCGCAAUGGUCGAAAGCCUGACGGAGCAACGCCGCGUGAGGGAUGAAGGUCUUCGGAUCGUAAAACUCUGUUAUGAGGGAAGAACAUAUGUGUAAGUAACUGUGCACAUCUUGACGGUACCUAAUCAGAAAGCCACGGCUAACUACGUG
rnacentral:rRNA from 1 species